AAAAUAUAUGUUGAAGGAUGGAAUUGAGCUGACAUGUUCUGCAUUCGUGGUUACCUCUUUAAUCACAGAACCUUCUUCCCCGGCUGGAGAAGACUCUUCCUCACUGUGCAGUGGCCUGCAGGAGCUAAAUGGGAACGGGAAGGAGGGGAGAAGGAUGCUUUUGUUUUCCUUUUAUCAUUUUUGGAGGUGAUCAGAUGCUGCAGAAUUCUGCAAGGACGGGGGAAGGAGGCUGAUGUCACCUGGCUGUUUGUUUCUGCAAGCAGAGAGCGCAUCUUCAACUGGAUCCUGGAAGCACAGAGCUUUAUGAGUCUCUGUCUCAGGCUUUUCGUGGCUGAUGCAAAUCUGAGCUAUGGGCAGCACGGUGGUGAGGGUGACUGAGCACUGGCGUGGGCUGCCCAGGGAGGUUUUGGACUCUCCAUCGCUGGAAAUAUCCAAAAGCCAUCCAGACACAGUCCUGGUCACUCACUCCAGGUGAUGCUUGGACCAGAUGAACUCCACAUCUCCCUUCCUCAACCACUCUAGAGACUGGAGCAGCAUCCUCUGCAGAGCAGCACAGAAACCCCUGCUCAUCCUGAAACUGCUCAGUUCAUCCUGAAAC
rnacentral:lncRNA from 12 species